rnacentral:lncRNA from 1 species
AGUGAAGCUGACCCUCCAUCCUGAGCUGGUCUGGCCUGAGAGAGGUAGGGGUGAGAUGUGCUGGGAAGCCAGAAAGGGAGGUGCUGGUAAGAGACACCCCAUCCAGGGCCAGAACCGCGGUAAGUAAGAAAGGCCCUGGGCUUCUGUCUGCUCCUGCCUGUUUGGCAAAAUCACAGAGGGAGCAGUGCUCUGGGCACCCGCAGCUCAUUAACAGGCCUUUCGCCAUAUGGAUUCUGGGCGUGCUUCCCACUGGCAAUAUGGUGUCCAUUCGUGACGCAAUAGCCGCAGCUCAUUACCGGCUAUGCCACAAAGACUUUGUCCCCUGUGCAACUGCUUGCUGGGGAGCCCUCUUUUCCAGGGUGGAUGGAGAGAUGAAGUGACCACAGCUCUCUUCUGUCUUUGCCCCCACCCUGCCAUGCCUCUGACAGGCUGAUGACUCAUUUGUAUGUGUCAGCACUGCUGAAUUAUGAGGGUCCUUCUGGGUGCACAUGAAUCCCAAGCAGACCAGACACCUCAUCUGGACAUUCCAGGCUGCUAAUCAAGCACUUUGUCAAUUCAGCCGAGGACCAUGUGUGCUGCACUUUGAUGUGGGGAUGCUGAUGUGGCCGCCACGACCCACCCCCUGAAGUAGCUGCACUCCAGCCAGCCGUGGCUUCUCCUAGUUGCCUGGGCACACAGGCAGGGCCUGCUAGGGGGCUGCUUUACCCUCAGCCUUUACCUGACAGAUCCCCUCCUCGACUUAGCCUAUAUCUCUUCAGUACCUCUUGCAUACCCCAGGAAAGAAUCCCUGUCCCUGAGACUGUAUGACUGGAUUCUGCCUUCUUGCUAGGUGCUUCAUUUCCAGGUCUUUCUUUUUUUUUUUUUUUUCCUAGCAGAACACUUCCCACAUUGCACUAUAAUUUCUGUUUUUAUGUCUGUGUCCCUUAUGCUUUGUGAGGUUAAGGGUUUUUUACCAGUCAUUAUUCCUAUUUGCUCUGUGCACAGGACAAAUGAUUGGACACAGAGGGCCUACAAUCCUAUAAUAUUGCAGGGUUGGGAAGGAUGCAGGAAAACAGGCAUUCUCUUAUGCCUUUUGUGGAAGGAUCAAUUGGUGCAUGCACUUUAGGGGACAAUUUGGCAGUAGCUGUCAAAUUUCAAAUUUCAGUCAGCAAAAUAUUUUUUGAAAAUUUAUUCUAUAGAUACCCACACAUAUACAAAUAAAUAAAUUCAAGGCUAUUCACUGAAGCAUUGUUUAUAUAGCCAAAGAUGAAAUAAUCUAAAAAUUCAUCCAUAGAGGAUUUGUUAAAUAAAAUAUAUCUACAUAAUGGAAUACAAUGUAGCUAUGUAAAAAGGAGACAGGUCAGUCUAGGGUCAUAUGAAAACUAAUCACCAAAUAUAAUGAUUUCAGGCACCAUGUAGAGAAGUGUGUAUAUAGUAGCUUCCAACUGUGCUUUUUUUAAAAGAGGGGGAAUAUAUACAUAUGUGCUUAUAUACGCUAUGUUGGUACAUGCAGAGACUAUCUGGGGA